CGUGAUUUGGGUCAUUUCGCGACGGUGUGCCCACAGAGGAUUAUCGAAGUGGGCCUGCGAAAAGUUGCUCCAGCGAUGGGUUGGCGGAGCUCAUUGGACAGCUCCUUGACCACGACACCGAGGCCUUUCAGCUCCUUGAACAUGCUGAUCAGAUCCUCACAGGAGAAGCCACACACCAUCUGCAGGUCUUAAAAAACACAGUUCAGUCUACGUGGAGGCGCGCCGAGGGCCAGGCGCAGCACGUUUCAUCCAUCUAGAUUUCAUCAAGAGCGUCCGACAAAUGGGCCACCAAUAGAAAACAAAGGCUAGAGGGAUUUUGACGCGUCUGACGCUCCGCCACAGACUUUGAACGUAAACCAGAUGCACGAAACGCUGCGUGCCACUGAAGUGUUGGAUUGGUGCUUCUAACUCGCUCCAGGGAGCAGCGGGACACCACAAGUUCUGGGAGAAUGCUAAAUGCAAACAUCUCAAUUUAGGAUUAAAUAUACACAGCUGCACAUCUGUCGCUUCUGUUUAUUGCUUGUCUAAUUUAUGCUUGCUCUAUAAUUUUCCAUUUAGAUCAAUGACCACAGGUUAGCAGCUCGUUUGAAUGUUUGAGUUCAUUUCAAGACUUGCUGCAUCCACUGUAUGACC